UACGGGGGGGAGCAAGCGUUGUUCGGAUUUACUGGGCGUAAAGGGCGCGUAGGCGGCAUGACAAGUCACUUGUGAAAUCUCUGGGGCUUAACCCGGAGCGGUCAAGUGAUACUGUCGUGCUAGAGUGCGGAAGGGGCUACUGGAAUUCUCGGUGUAGCGGUGAAAUGCGUAGAUAUCGAGAGGAACACCUGCGGCGAAGGCGGGUAGCUGGGCCGACACUGACGCUGAUGCGCGAAAGCCAGGGGAGCGAACGGG
rnacentral:rRNA from 1 species